rnacentral:rRNA from 1 species
GCGCAGCAGUCGCGAAAACUUCACAAUGUGCGAAAGCACGAUGAGGGAAUCCCAAGUGCUUGCACGUAAGUGUAAGCUGUUUCUCUGUCUAAAACGCAGAGAGAGUAAGGGCUGGGUAAGACGGGUGCCAGCCGCCGCGGUAAUACCUGCAGCUCGAGUGGUGACCGUUAUUAUUGGGCCUAAAACGUCCGUAGCCGGUUUAAUAAAUGCCUGGGGUAAAAUCGGAACCGCUUAACGGUUCGAAUUCCGGGUAGACUGUUAAACUUGAGACCGGGAGAAGUUAGAGGUACUCCUGGGGUAGAGGUGAAAUUCUGGUAAUCCGUAGGGGGACCACCAGUGGCGAAGGCGUCUAACUAGAACGGGUCUGACGGUGAGGGGACGAAGCCCUGGGGCGC